GAGGUUUAGCAAAUCUCUUAAAGCCGUUCUCAGUUCGGAUUGUAGGCUGCAACUCGCCUACAUGAAGUCGGAAUCGCUAGUAAUCGCGGAUCAGCAUGCCGCGGUGAAUACGUUCCCGGGCCUUGUACACACCGCCCGUCACACCAUGAGAGUUUGUAACACCCAAAGCCGGUGGGGUAACCUUUUGGAGCCAGCCGUCUAAGGUGGGACAGAUGAUUAGGGUGAAGUCGUAACAAGGUAUC
rnacentral:rRNA from 1 species